rnacentral:lncRNA from 1 species
GGGGGGACGGAACGGCGGGACGGACCCGGGCAGCGGCCCCGGGGCUGGGGGGGGAAGGGAGGAGGAGGAGGAGGAGGACGACGGUCGGGAGCGGGAGGGGCGGAGGGGGGGGCCGAGCGGCGGGCGGGGCGCCCAGGGAGAGCCCGCAGCCGGCCCCGCCCCGCCGCCGCCGUGAGGGGGGCGGCUCCCGGGCCGCGGCCUGGCUCGCAGCCUCCCCCGGCGCUGCUCUGUGUCUCCCCGCAGCACCGGUGCGCGCUCCCGGAGCCCCAAACGCUCCCCUGCAGGGUUCUUGUAUCCGCUGGAGUCUCCGGAGCCCCCGGUGUUUUUCUGGGGUCGGUCCCGCGGCCCCCACUGCUCCGCUCCGGCCAUGGCCGGUACCCCGGGGCCCGUACAGCCCCCUUCACCCUCGUACAACCCCAGCCUGUGCCCCCGAAGCCCUCACAGCCCCCGCUGCUCCCCCAGAGCUCCUGUGGCCCCCACCGCUCUUCUCUAGUCCCCAUUUGUGCCCCCCAGACCUCCCAUGUCUCCCCUCCAGCCUCUGCCGGAUCCCCUGGAGCGUCUGUGGCUCCUGCCUGCACCUCUCUAGGCCCCACAGCCCCCGGCCUGUGCCCUCGCAGCCCCCUCUGCUUCUGCAGAGCCCCUGUCCCAGCUCCCAGAGCUCCUGCGCCCCCUGAGCUGCCUUUCCAGAGCACCCAUGGGUGCCCCCACAGUUCUCCCCUUGGGCACAACCCUCUCAUCCUCCCUCUUUUCUCUCUCAGACUCUCUUGUCAUGGUGUCCUGGACCUCAAAACCGUUGUCUUCACCUCCCACCAAGGUCCUGGCCAUCUGGUGCCCCCCCAGCCCCUUUGUUGUGUCCUGGGGUGCCCUGUGCACAGCCCCUCCACCAGCAGUUACCCUGCAUCCCCAGGUUACCAUGGCACAAACUGGGGUUUCUACUCUUUGCUCUGUGUGUCUCCCCAGACCCCCCAGCGCUGCAGCCACCUCUGUGCCCCUUUGGCCCCUGUGGUGGCCCCAUCUUGGGGUGUCUUUGUUUUUCUUGGGUCUAGCCCCCAGCGUAGUCCCUAUACCCCAUCCCUCAUUGCCCCACACUGGUACUGUAGUUUGCUGGAGGACUCUGGAGCUGAGGGAAAGCUUCAAAGCUUAUUUGAGAGCAGUUUCUGA